AGACCAUGGUGUGGAUAUCGUCUUUGCAAUUCCUUAAACCUUUCCCAUGCCUCAUACAAAGAUUUACCAUCAAAUUGAACAAAACUAGUAAAUAUCAUUCCUGAGUUU